UGCAGUCGAGCGGAACGAGUUAUCUGAACCUUCGGGGAACGAUAACGGCGUCGAGCGGCGGACGGGUGAGUAAUGCCUGGGAAAUUGCCCUGAUGUGGGGGAUAACUAUUGGAAACGAUAGCUAAUACCGCAUAAUGUCUACGGACCAAAGAGGGGGACCUUCGGGCCUCUCGCUUCAGGAUAUGCCCAGGUGGGAUUAGCUAGUUGGUGAGGUAAUGGCUCACCAAGGCGACGAUCCCUAGCUGGUCUGAGAGGAUGAUCAGCCACACUGGAACUGAGACACGGUCCAGACUCCUACGGGAGGCAGCAGUGGGGAAUAUUGCACAAUGGGCGCAAGCCUGAUGCAGCCAUGCCGCGUGUAUGAAGAAGGCCUUCGGGUUGUAAAGUACUUUCAGUCGUGAGGAAGGCAAUAUAGUUAAUAGCUGUAUUGUUUGACGUUAGCGACAGAAGAAGCACCGGCUAACUCCGUGCCAGCAGCCGCGGUAAUACGGAGGGUGCGAGCGUUAAUCG
rnacentral:rRNA from 1 species